CUCCACUGCAAUAACAUUGAAGUUAAUAUGCGUUUCUUGGCUCUCUGUUUGGUACUUUUCACUGUCAUGGCUUUAACACUUAGUCAGGCAACUCCGGUAGAAGAAUAUUCUACUUCAUUCCAAGAAAAUCCGGAAAACCCUUUGGAACAACAAGUUGAUCCUGCUGGAAGCUUUUCCAUAUGGUGGGGUUAAUUUAUGGCCUGUGGGGAUAACACGGAAUUUAAAUUCAGUAAAAAUAUUUAAGUAAAUAGAAACUUGCAGGAAUUAAAUGAUGAAGCUUUUACUAUACUAA
rnacentral:sRNA from 1 species